AGAGAGAGAGAACAGUUUAGGUGGGAAUAGCCAUGGUGAUAACAACAUCCAAGAGAAUGGGGUCAAUGAUGCUUGUGGCGGCUCUGAUACUGUGUUUGUCUAUCGGUGCCAACGCCAACUUUCUGGACGACCUACUGCGCCGGAUUAAGUGUUUGACGUACUGUGGCCCGUCAAGAGCUUGCAUUAUAGAAUGCCUCCGGCAUCAUUCCACAAGGUCCUUGACCAUCCUGACACCGAGAAAGUUGGAGCGGACGUGAAGAAGGUUGGAGCUUGUGCGGAUUCAUGCUCUCGGGGUUUUCUAGAAGGCUUAUUCAUUGCACUAAAGUCAUUGAACUUAUGUAAUGCCUUUGAGGUUUCAUUCCUCAACUAAUAAAAAGUGCCUUUUUUAA